GUUUCCUCAGCCGCGUCCAGCCUCGCAGCACUGCUCUUCUGCUUGCUACUCCAGCGAAGGGACAUGCCUGCUGGCCAGGACGCUUAGUGGGCCUCGUAACCUGGCGAGUGUGUGCCCGCGCGUGUCCACCCUGCCCCCGGCCGGUGCGCCCCGCGCGCCCAAACCCGGCCGGCGACCACUGCGCGCCGGGCGCUUCCAAACUGCUCCUGUCCAGAGGCAUCCCUCUUUCGGCUUUCUCCAUCCCGCGUCCGCUUCCGCACCCGAGAGCGACAAGCAAAAAAGAUUCAGUGCAACUCAAGGACUGGUUUGUUAUACUCAAAAUGUACCAGGAACAGGAACAAAAGUAUUUUAUAAAAUAAUUAAUUUUUAUGGGCUAUGAGUCCCAAAUGGUUAUGUAAUCAAAGUGGAAGCAGAAAAGCAUGGCUUAGAAAAUAAUUGGUCAUGUCAUGUCACGCUUAACACAUGUGCAGGUUCUGCCCUCCAGGUUGCAGUGCGAUGGUGUGAUCAAUGCUCAUAGUAGCUUCAAACUCCCAGGAUCAAGUGAUCCUCCUAAAUAAACCUCCUGAGUAGCUGGGACUACAGCUUCCACCAUGGGAUGAUACAGCAUGAAGGCCCUCACCAGAUAUGCACCCCUUGAUUUUGGACUUCCCAGACUCCAGAACUAAUCUGGGCUAUCCCUGUGACUUGCUUUGACUAACGGAAUGUGACAGAAUGACGUUGUGCAACAUCCAAAUCAGGACUUAAGAAACUGUAGGCAGCCAUCAUGCUGUGAACGCAAGCUGUGUGGAGAGACUAAGUGGAGGUGAAUGGAGUCAGUUCAGUCAACAGCCCUACCUGAUAUUUCAGUCCAUAACUAGCCCUGUGUGUCAGCCCUGUGAACAGGUCGUCUUGGACUUUUCACCCCAGUUGAGAAUAAUGACUACAUCCUCAGCUGAUAGCACAUGGAACAGAGGAACUACCUAGCUUAGCUGGGCCCAUAUUGCAGAAUUGUGAGAGAUCAUGAAAAGUUG
rnacentral:lncRNA from 1 species